rnacentral:rRNA from 1 species
CAGAUUAGGUCCUUGGUGAGGGUUUGGCUCCCCCAGCCGGGGAUCUGUAGCUGGUUUGGGCGGGUGAUCAGCCACGCUGGGACUGAUACACGGCCCAGACUCCUACGGGAGGCAGCAGUGGGGAAUAUUGGACAAUGGGCGAAAGCCUGAUCCAGCAAUACCGAGUGAGUGAUGCAGGCCUUAGGGUUGUAAAACUCUUUUAGCAAGGAAGAUAAUGACGUUACAAACAAAAAAAGCCCCGGCUAACUCCGUGCCAGCAGCCGCGGUAAGACGGGGGGGGCUAGCGUUGUUCGGAAUUACUGGGCGUAAAGAGUGCGUAGGCGGAAAAGUAAGUUGGAAGUGAAAGCCCGGGGCUUAACCUCGGAAUUGCUUUCAAAACUACUAAUCUAGAGUGUAGUAGGGGAUGAUGGAAUUCCUAGUGUAGAG